GGAGAGAGCUCGAAGGCACUAGAGAGAGAGUGUGAGAAAGAGGGAGGGAGCGAGUGUCCAGGGCGGCACAAGCAUCGCAGACCGCGGCAGCAACACACGGAGCUCGUCUCCCUCCUCUUUCUCCUCUUUUCUCUCGCUCUCUGUCGUUUUUAUCGAUAUCUCCCAAACGGCUGGGAGAAACCUCGAUUCCUUCGACGGGGGGCUUCUAGGAGUGUAGAUUCUCAUCCUCCUAGAAGGCCGCGGCGAGAUCUGCCACGGAUCUGGAGAUCUCGCUGGCCCUAGGUCGCUGCUGUUUUUAGGGUUCUUCGGCGGCGGCUAGGGUUUUUCGGGGCUUAGAGAUCUGGAGGAGUGGAGAGGGCAGCUAGGAACACCACGGCUGCAGCAGCUGGACGCUCUCCUCUCCUCCUCUUCUUUUUUCGCUUCUCAUGGUUUCAAGUUUUUUGGGAGCUCAUAACUCCUGAACGGCUUGGAAUUUUUCCACAAAAAUUCACAGGGGGAUAGCUGGGAGGGAGCCUCACACCCUCCCAGAAGCGCAGGCAAAAAUUCUUCACGGUCUCAGAGUUCUCACCUGCCCUAAUUCGUGGCUAGGGUUAGGGUUCUUGGCUGGCUUUUGCCCUAACUGCGGUUAGGGCAGGACUUAGGGUGGCGGCGGGAUCUUCGAUCCGGCCACUCUAAGUGUCAGGGAUCUUCGUUGCAUGUGGUUGGCACGGCAGCAACAUGGUGGAAACGCAACGGUUGCUGGUCUCGCAGCUUCGAGCGGGAUUUCUCGCCUUAGGUCGGGCCAUGCAAGGUGGCGACUAAGGUACGGAGAGCGUGAAGCUGCAUGUGUCGGAGGUUCUUGGCGACUUGAGUCGUGGAAACACGACCAAGUCAUGGGAACUUUGUUGACUGGUGGAGGACAGUUUGGGACGACAUCCCGACAUAGCGAAGUGUCCGCGGUGGAUGGACGUGGAAGACACUAUGGGCGCAUUUUUGGAUCUAGUGACAGGGAAGUGCUGUCACAAAGGGGGCCAGUGGCGGAUGGCUGAGUUGGUUUGCUCGCGGAGGGGAUCCCACAUGGUUCUUGCUUCAGGGCUAGUCCUUUGAGGAGGUUCGCGGAGGCUUGCAAGUCUUGUGAUUGUCGCGAUGCCGGCAACGGGGGCUCGUAUAUCAUUGAAGGGGGCCAGCGCACUUGUCUAGUGUGGGAGGCAAGGUAGCAUGCUCUAGUCUAGAGCUGGAGGAGGCUCACACCUCGCUUGUUCUACGCUUUGGAGUUUGUUCGCAAUGGGCACCGACUUAGUGCUGGAAGUACACUGGGGAGCUUGUGCAGUGGAGUCACCUUGGAGGCGAGUGACCCAUGAGCAACGCCGGGUCAUCGUGCUCGAGUUGGACCACUUGGCUGCGACGACAUCGAGCUAGAUCGACAUGGUGUUCGUCUGGCUUGUCAUCAUUGUGACCGAGUGGAGGAGUGGCAAGGCGAAGCAGGUGGCUUCAAGCUCCGCGGUGGAGUCACCUGGGAGGCGGACGGCCCAAGAGCAGCGCCGGGCGUUCGCGCUCAUAGUUUCACUAGUCUCUUCGAGAGUGCGCUCUCAAUGUUGUUUUGAUCCCUUUGGGAUUGGGGUAAUGUACAUACAUGUUUAGCGAUGGCCAA